ACAUGUCUGCAACAUAGCGUUAAUGCACUAGAUCCCAUUAGAAAUCUGCAGUUAAGCACACUUAGGAAAGAUUAGUACUGGGAUGGGUAACCACGCGAAAAUUCCUAGUGUUUUACAUGUC
rnacentral:rRNA from 1 species